CACGUAGGGGCGCGAGCGUUGUCCGGAAUUAUUGGGCGUAAAGAGCUCGUAGGCGGCCUGUUGCGUCCGCUGUGAAAAGCCCGGGGCUUAACCCCCGGGUCGGCAGUGGAUACGGGCAGGCUAGAGGUAGGUAGGGGAGAAUGGAAUUCCCGGUGUAGCGGUGAAAUGCGCAGAUAUCGGGAGGAACACCGGUGGCGAAGGCGGGUUCUCUGGGCCUUACCUGACGCUGAGGAGCGAAAGCGUGGGGAGCGAACAGG
rnacentral:rRNA from 1 species